rnacentral:snRNA from 1 species
GGGCUUGCUUAGACAGCGCAUAUACUAAAAUUGGAACUACAGAAAAAUUAGCAUGGCCCCUGGACAUGCAAAUUCAUGAGGUGUUCCAUAUUUUU